GAGUUUGAUUAUGGCUCAGGAUGAACGCUGGCGGCGUGCUUAACACAUGCAAGUCGAACGAACGACUAUUAACAGAACCUUUCGGGGCGAAGAUGAUAGAAGUUAGUGGCGGACGGGUGCGUAACGCGUGGGUAAUCUGCCUUUGUCAAAGGAAUAACUAUUCGAAAGAAUAGCUAAAACCGUAUAAAAUAUUAAUAGGGCAUCCUAAUAAUAUCAAAACGAUAGUGGACAAAGAUGAGCCCGCGUCUGAUUAGCUAGUUGGUGAGAUAAAAGCCCACCAAGGCAACGAUCAGUAGCCGACCUGAGAGGGUGAACGACCACAUUGGAACUGAGACACGGUCCAAACUCCUACGGGAGGCAGCAGUGGGGAAUAUUGCACAAUGGGGGGAACCCUGAUGCAGCAACGCCGCGUGAGUGAAGAAGGCAUCCGUGUCGUAAAACUCUGUAGUAGGGGAAGAAAGAAAUGACA
rnacentral:rRNA from 1 species